GGUGGGUUGGCCGAGUGGUUUAAGGCGCUGGUCUCGAAAACCAGUUGGGGAGAAAUCCUCUCAGAGGUUCAAAUCCUCUACCCACCA
rnacentral:tRNA from 6 species